GCCUCUUGCCUAACAUAAGAGGUCCAGCCUGCCCAGUGACAUAGUUCAACGGCCGCGGUACCCUAACCGUGCGAAGGUAGCAUAAUCACUUGUUCCCUAAAUAGGGACUAGUAUCAACGGCAUCACGAGGGCUAAACUGUCUCCUCUCUCUAAUCAGUGAAACUGAUCUCCCCGUGAAGAAGCGGGGAUUAAGAUAUAAGACGAGAAGACCCCAUGGAGCUUUAAACUCAGUAUACACCUCUACUAACCCACACCAACUAACCCUAAAAGCCUGUAUACUAGUUUUAGGUUGGGGGGACCGCGGAGUACAAAUUAACCUCCACGACAAACGGGCUAACGCCCUUAUCCAUGAGACACAGCUCUAAGAAUCAACAAUCUGAUGUUUAUGACCCGAUAAGUCGAUCAGCGAACCAAGUUACCCUGGGGAUAACAGCGCAAUCUACUUUAAGAGCCCCUAUCGACAAGUAGGUUUACGACCUCGAUGUUGGAUCAGGGUAUCCUAGUGGUGCAGCCGCUACUAUUGGUUCGUUUGUUCAACGAUUAAAACCCUACGUG
rnacentral:rRNA from 1 species